AGGCCUCUCUUCCUUAUGGAAGUGAAAGUUAGCUGCCAGAACUGGUUUCCUCUCCAUUGCUGGAUCCAUCAGAGGUGUCGGUUAUGCAGCUUGAGUCGGAUAAAGAGGAUGCAGAAUGACCUUGAUCUCUAUAUCUCUGCCCCAUGAAGUCAAUGAAGCCAAUGCCGCUCUCUGUAACUGGCGCUUCUUCCCCUUCCUCGGUCUCGACAUCCAUCUUGGUAGCUCUUUUCUUCUUAAAAAUGCGACAGAGCACCCAAUCUCUGCUCGGGAUGAUACAAUUCUACAUGAGCAGAAGCAUUCUAGAGUUUAGCAAAGAUUACCCAUGGAAGUGCAAAGGAUUAGGAGAGGAGAGCUACAUAAUAAGCUACCGAUGAAGUCAUGUCAUUCUAAAGUUUUUUCUGGCUUCAAGGUAUUGUUUUUCCAUUGACAAGAAAACAGGAUUUUACAAAAUCAAUCCUAGAACCAAAUCUUCAGGAUGUGAUGCAAUUGCAGAUUAACACUAACAAGGAUCAACAGGGCAUUCUAAUCUGACAUGGUAGUUGUUGCAUGUUAAUUGGCAGAUGUUGGAGGUAUAAAUCUGAGCUGGUCACGAGAACAUCCAUAAAAUCCUAAAUUUUGGGCCUGUUUCAGAUUCGAGAAGGGCAAGAACAGCUCACAUGAGUUGAGUUCUUCCUCUGGGGAAAGAUGCAGGCGGUGGACUCGGGGCCGGCGAGCCGGUACUCGUGCAUGACCCAGUCAGUCUUGCUCCCGGUGGGAUGCUUCCCUCCGUAGAAGACCAAGACCUUCUUCAUCCCCACCACCUGGCCGCACCUCGGCGACGUGAUCCGCUUGUCCCUCCCCGAGGCCUUCCAGUACCCGGACCUCGCCAUCCGGUUCGAUCGGCUCCUGCUGGGGCUCUUGGCCUCCCUUAGACUGAAGCAGUAUCUCUCCUCCUCGCCCCCACCUGAGCAUUACAACAAACAGCUUGAAGCAUGAGCACACGCACAACGCUCAAGAACCAAAAGGAGAUUGUUCGUACGGACCUGGCAAGUCCCAUGGAUCGAAUCUUGCGAGGUCGAGGUCAGGGAUGAAGGAGGCGGGCAAGGGGCAGGAGAAGACCUUCCGCUUGAGGUACUGAACCACG
rnacentral:lncRNA from 1 species